rnacentral:rRNA from 1 species
AACGUAGGGGACGAGCGUUAUCCGGAUUUACUGGGCGUAAAGCGCCCGUAGGCGGCUCGAUAAGUUGGACGUGAAAGCUCCCGGCUUAACUGGGAGAGGCCGUUCAAAACUGUCGGGCUAGAGUACGGAAGAGGCGAGUGGAAUUCCUGGUGUAGCGGUGAAAUGCGCAGAUAUCAGGAGGAACACCAAUUGCGAAGGCAGCUCGCUGGGACGUUACUGACGCUGAGACGCGAAAGCGUGGGGAGCAAACAGG